CGAGCGGACAGAAGGGAGCUUGCUCCCGGAUGUUAGCGGCGGACGGGUGAGUAACACGUGGGUAACCUGCCUGUAAGACUGGGAUAACUCCGGGAAACCGGAGCUAAUACCGGAUAGUUCCUUGAACCGCAUGGUUCAAGGAUGAAAGACGGUUUCGGCUGUCACUUACAGAUGGACCCGCGGCGCAUUAGCUAGUUGGUGAGGUAACGGCUCACCAAGGCGACGAUGCGUAGCCGACCUGAGAGGGUGAUCGGCCACACUGGGACUGAGACACGGCCCAGACUCCUACGGGAGGCAGCAGUAGGGAAUCUUCCGCAAUGGACGAAAGUCUGACGGAGCAACGCCGCGUGAGUGAUGAAGGUUUUCGGAUCGUAAAGCUCUGUUGUUAGGGAAGAACAAGUGCAAGAGUAACUGCUUGCACCUUGACGGUACCUAACCAGAAAGCCACGGCUAACUACGUGCCAGCAGCCGCGGUAAUACGUAGGUGGCAAGCGUUGUCCGGAAUUAUUGGGCGUAAAGGGCUCGCAGGCGGUUUCUUAAGUCUGAUGUGAAAGCCCCCGGCUCAACCGGGGAGGGUCAUUGGAAACUGGGAAACUUGAGUGCAGAAGAGGAGAGUGGAAUUCCACGUGUAGCGGUGAAAUGCGUAGAGAUGUGGAGGAACACCAGUGGCGAAGGCGACUCUCUGGUCUGUAACUGACGCUGAGGAGCGAAAGCGUGGGGAGCGAACAGGAUUAGAUACCCUGGGUAGUCCACGCCGUAAACGAUGAGUGCUAAGUGUUAGGGGGGUUUCCGCCCCUUAGUGCUGCAGCUAACGCAUUAAGCACUCCCGCCUGGGGGAGUACGGUCGCCAAGACUGAAACUCAAAGGAAUUGACGGGGGCCC
rnacentral:rRNA from 1 species